AAACCAUGAUGGGGCACCGAGUGGUGUAACUUUAAAACCUUUCCAAAGCUUCAUAGAAAGUUUCAUUGUUUUUUGUGUGAAGCCUGAGAUCUCGUUCCUCAAUCU
rfam:Arabidopsis thaliana chromosome 2, complete sequence.